UUCAAAAGUUCCAAUCGUAUUCACAAGAAUUUCGAUAUAAGAACAUAAUGUAAUCCAUAAUUUAUCGUUUCGGUAGCACAAAUAUAUUUAGCAAGCCCUUUUGAAGCCGUCAUUACAAUUAAAUGUAUUGAAAAAUGCUCUGAAAAUUAAAGCUGAAUCGAUAUGAUAAUUUCUACCAUCAAUGGCGGGUUCCAAUUGACAAAUAAACCUCUGAGAGGACAUCCAUCAUUUAAAGGACUUAGAAAUAUAACUUUAAAUACCAUCAUUCAUUCAAUAAAAUGAAGAUAGAUCCCUAAUUUAAAUUCAGUUCCUACUGGCAAUUCCACAUGGCCAUAUCUAAUUACACAUUCAAGGGAAAGGCUUGCCGUCUCUGCUGGGAGGCAUAAUAAAUCAUCUUUCAGUUGGUACUGCGACGCCCAGAGCCUCUGUGGCAAAGACGCUGUGCCAAGUUUCAGGGCACUCGCUCACUCACUACGGAAUUUAAUUGCCAUAUAAAUGAAGGACGUUCCCGCAAGGAAGUCUUAGUCCCCAUCGCCUGAACGUAGAACUAAUUGCCGCCGUAGCACUAAGCCCCGACACACACACAAUAUUGAUCGAUGCGGAAAGUCACGAUGCUGCCUUGCCUGUUGCAUGUGACCCACAAAUGUGGUGGACUUUUGGAACUGCCAUUCCCUUGACAUUGCCACACGUACGAAUGUCACCGCCAGCUCAAAAAAGCUCAAAACCAAUUUUGGUAGACAGCGAGAGGAGGCCCUCCCUGGCCUCACUCGCUCUCCCGCUCUCUGCAUCGUUUCUCUAACCAAUUGAUGAGAAUUUAUACAAUGGACAAGACCUAUGAAGGAGUGCCAGGGGUGGUGUUUCGUCAAGGGGUUUGGGAAAUCACUUAAGGAAUGCAGAUAGAAAUCAAAAAGGAAGGAAGGACCGAAGUGUAGAUACCCUUUGUAGAGCAAAUAAAACCAUAAAUCUUUAAGAUUCUUUUAAA
rnacentral:sRNA from 1 species